rnacentral:lncRNA from 1 species
UUUUUUUUUUUUUUUUUAAGCAAAUUGGAUCGGAAAAACAAGGACAAGAAAUGAACGAAAGCCUUGAUAAUUACGAGAAAAAUUACAUAAAAUAUAUGGAAAUCUUUUUAGAAUGAAAUGAAUUCUUUUGCUUCUUUUCCAAACGUCAAAGCCAACGUACUAUAUCCUUUUUGCUACUGUGUACAUGCUACGCUCUACUUCACUAAACAGUCAGGUCAGUAUGUACUAUUUUCGGUCAGUGUGUACUUUUUGCUCUGGUUGUGAUUAAAGCUAGUUUGGCUUAGCCAUCAUGGAUGGUAAAGCCGGCAAUGCCUAGGCACAUGUUGAAAUGGUUAUUUUUAUAGAACUAGCUAUUUUGGAUGAAAGUUUGAGAAGGAAACCCGAGAAUAUAGACUCACGAAUAAAGAAACACUCAUUAAUUAUUCGUUUAAAAGAUAUGAGAAGAAGUUAAAACAAGAACCUUUCUAUUUUCAUCCACCAUUCACACAACAAAUACUUUUUGUUUGUAAGCAGCUUCUUGUGUUUCUCGUCUAUUUCUGUAAAUAACCAACAUCGGAUAGCACACCCACUUUACUUUCUAUUCUUAGUAGCCGUCGUUAUUUAUUUUUAGCAGUAACCCGCUCCUGCCGUACUAAACGGCAUUCAUAAACGGAAUUAGUGCAGUGUAGUGUAGUGCAUUCAGUGAUCAAAGGGGAUCUUAUUUUCUUCGAUUGUCUUCUAAGUUUCUCUAUUUUUAGAUGGACAUUUUAAAAAAAGUCUUCUUCGUGUAUUGUAGAAUACCUUACCCCCAAAAAUAAAAAAGAAUAAAAAAAGAGAAUCCUGAAUCACACACACUCUCUCUCUUUCAAACAUUUUUUUUUUCUGUGGAAUUGUCAAUUUAUGUGCUGCGAAACUUUUCGCUAAUUUCAACUUUACGACUCGUAAAAUGCUUCGUUAAGCAAAAGGGGUAGGCUUAUAUACUAUUAGUAAAUAACCAUCGGUCCGACAAGGCAAGAGGGCAAUUUCGAUUAUGCAUCCAAUUUUCAUAAACUGUAGAAGGGAAAUUAGAUAAAAAAGAGGUGGCUGAAUCAGAUGCUUUUCUUUUCUUUUUUUUUAAUUCAUUAUUUGUUUUCACACAGUAAAGUUUUAUGUGUACAUACGAAUUCACCAAUAUUCAUACACUCGGGUUCCCAUGGAAAACAAGGCAAUCAAAUUACGAUAAAAAAAUAUAUAUAUGUAAAGAAAAGAGCAAUCGUUAAUUGUUGUUGUUGUUGUUUUUUUUCGAAGAGAAGUCGUAUUUGUUUCUUUUUUUUCUUAGACAUUUUAUUGUUCCUUACCUUUAUUUGUUCUUCCAUGCUUUCUUUAUUUACAUAGGGUCUCCGUUACUUGAUGUUCUUUACCUCUUCCUCGUGCUGAAAUUGAAUGGAAUACGUCAUGAUUUCGGUAAAUCAACCCUUUAAAUUUUCGGUAAUCCUUGACCAAUGUUUGUUUCUCAAAUACAAAAACACUAAAGCUUAUACGUCAUGACAUGAUGUUAUCUGUUCGUUGAGUGGAAGGAUGAUGUCAAACACAUUGUCCAAUUGCGGCUUUUAAAUUUCGCUUCCUUGUUUAUUUAUGGCAUCAUAUGAAGAAGGAGAACAUUGUGACUCCAUUCCGCUUCGUUAUUCACCUUUUCAAAACAAGAGGUUUCUACGAUUAGCGAGGUCGUCGUUAAGCAUAAUUAAAGAGAAGAAGAUAUACAAGAUGGUAAUUUGAUUCUUUAUUUCUAUUUAUAUUUUAUUUUUUACUUUGAUACUUGUGUCCCACUUGUUAAUUCUAUUUCUAUAUUAUUUUUUCCACUUUUUUAAUUCUAUUUCUGUUUUCUAUUUUCUAAUUUUCCGCUUGCUACUUUUACUUCUAUUUACAAACUCUAUGCCUAUCGUGCGUGACUUUCUAAACAAGUCAAGGUUUUAUCGUUUCAUCUAAUGUUUUAUGGCAUGUGGAAAGUUUGUUAACCUUCCCAUAAUUUUAAUAUGGUUUCAUAUUCAAUUUCUCUUGUUUUCUCUUAUUCUCUGUUGGAAAGGAAAAAAAGUGGUUGAGAGUAUCAUUUGUUUCUUUCUACUUUUCUCCCCUAACUAUUGUGAAUCUAUCAUCUUAAUCUCUCCCCGCUUUACAAUCAUUCAAUAAGGAAAGUAUUAGGAAAUGUUGCUGACUCCCACUUUCUCUUUCCCUCUCCCUCUCCCUUGCUCCAAGGGGAUGGAUGUUGAAUGUUCAGAGACCGGUAUUAAGGUGGAGUGCGUUGUCGUUAUUCUCAUGAAUGAUGGAGUUGGAGAAAAAACCGAUUUUAAGAGGGAAGCGAUGAAAGCUGGGGGUUGAAAAGGAUUGGAGUGGAGUGGAGUGGAGUGGAAUGAAUUGAAUUGAAUUGGAUUGGAAAGGAAAUGAAAUGUUUAUGUUUAUGUUUAUGUUUAAAAGGAUGAUUUGGUUUUCAAUUCAAAAUUUCAAGCUGUCAGUCUUUUCUUUCUUUAUAAUCGCUUUUUUUUUUUGUUUUAGUUGUCAUACUUUCUGUGUGUUUCUGUUUCCCGCCCACUUUCUAUGACUCUUGUCGAAUUGUCACACAUUUCUUGCGUAUACAGUUGGCUGGCUUUUUUCCUUCUCAUUUCGUCUGUGAAUUUUAGAUAGGCAAUUGAAAACAUUCACAAUGAACAAGGGAUACUUAGCAUUCUUUACAACAACCUUUUUCAACGUUUGUUUCUAGGGAAGCAUAUUUCUUCAACAAACCGAUUUCAUCUUUUUACCCAAUUAAUUUAGUAAAGGUCAUUUCAAAAUGUAUCACUUUUUGAGAGAAUGGGUUUGUUGUGCGUCGUUCACUAAAUCACUCUCAUUCUAGUCGACGGAAAUAUUCUUUUUCACUGUGGUGGUUGUUGUUGUUAUUGUUUUUUUUUUUGCGUUUCGUCAUUUCUUUUUUUCUCGAUUAUGUGGAAAUGCAAUUUGUUAAUGGAAAGGCUGGAUAUUGGAUGAUGCUUGAUUUCCUAAUCGUUCACUAAUAUAUUAAAUAAUCCUUGUUCAACCAUUUUCAUUUCCUCCUGUGUUCUUCCAUUACCUACAUUUUUACUUGUUUCAAUUGCAAUCUACCAUCCAUGAGGACAUGAAGAUUUCUAAUUUAUAUUAUAUAGACAUACAUGUUUACACACAAUGUAUAUAUAUAUGAUAAUUUCUUCUUCUUUCCGACUUGGCCACUUAUUCCAAUGAGUUCCCCUUGUUUCAACUUGUGUAUGUUUCUAUUUUUGAGUCGCUAAGCUAAUUCCACGUUGUUUUCAUAGACGUGCAGGUUUUCAGGAAUGGGAUGAAAAUCAAAUAUCCCUCUUCUCUGUUCUUCUUUCUUUUUCUCUUCUCUAUUGCUCUUAUUUCUUUCCUCGUCCCUUGAACCCAAAUUGAUUGAAUUGUUUUUCAUAUUCUCUUUUCCAUCUCCUUCCCAUAUAAUUCGAGUCGCUAGUUAUGUUGAGCAAAUUAUUUAUUUUCCAUCAAACUAUUCAAUCUUACACAAUUCCUUUGAUUACUCGAUCCACAAUCAUUAAAUAAUCUCACUUGCAACUUUUAUACACAAUCCCCUGAUCCCUUUUUUCGCCUAGUUUUCCUCCUUCUCUUUUCUACUUCAUUUCAGAAUUUAUGAAUUGCAUCUCGUUGUAUGCUUUACCAAUACUACCCAUCACGAACUCUGCUAUUCUUGUUUAAAAGUUUAACUCAACGUGCUACCUGAAAUUCGUUUACCGUAGCCGAAGUCAAAAUGCCUUUAAAAAAUUUUAAAAUCCUAACAAACAAAGUUAAGUUGGUUUGCGUUGCUCAACGUUAUUCUUUUUUUGCAUUCGGCUUCUAGGAAACACUACUGGAUAGCUGGCUAAUUUAAAAUUGCAUUUUCAAACAUCGGAAAAGUUGCGAAGAGCAUCGGAAGAACGGCUAUGGAGUUUGUUGGAUUUCGGGUAAUAAGGUAAACUUUUUACUACUUUUUCCAAAUUUUAUUUGUUCCUUAAAUGUUUAAGCCUUUUAUCCAUGUCCACUCAACAAAACAAGAAAUGACUUUUUACCGCUUAUUUCGUGCUCUUAGCCGUUGACAAUGCUCUCCGGGUCCACGGUACUAUUUGCGUAUAAGCUUGUUCUCCGAAUUUCCAUCUAUAAGAGUUAUCUUAAACUGAUUGAGCUUUGAUAAAAUUUUAUCCAACUUUACUGUGGAUUAGAAAUUAGCACGUUGUUUUUUGUGGAAUUGGUAAACAAUGGGAGACUGGGUUGCUGUUUAUUUACAUUAUAGUUAGGAGUGGAAGGAAAGUGCAUGCAUGUUUUAUUUUCCUCUGAAAACUGACGUUACAAAAUUUCUUUCUUUUUCUUUGUAAUAAAAAAAAUUCCCAUUUUUAUGUCUUGAUUUUUUCCUUGUUACGAUAAUUUUGUGAUACCUUGUUUUUGUCCUUUUUUUUUUUUUUUUUUUUUCUAUCAUCUUCUAAACUUACUCGGGCAUGUAAUUAACUAUAUGUUUGAUUACGAUUAUUCCCCAUUAAUUUGAUUGCGAAAACUUGAUGAAGCAUGGACUGAUGGCUGGUAAAGUAGAAUGUACGAUUUACAAAGGAUAAGGUGAAUUAUUUUAAUUAAACUUGACAACAGACAUUUGAAUUCUAUGCAACAGAAUGCCAUCAAUACCAAAUUUGCUACAUGUCUCACUAACAACAUUAUCUACUAAUGGCGGAUGUUAAGAAGGUUAUAAAAAAUGUUUUGUCUUUGGAUUUUUUUGGUAAGUUCUUCCUUUACAAACUUUCUUUUUUUUUUUUUUUUUUCUUUUUGGUAAUCAAUGGAUUGCAAUACUUCUUUUAUGAUUAUUUUGGGCUAAUAAAACUUUUGCUAUAUAUACCGCGGCUUAAAUACGGUGUAAAAGCACGGUUGUUUUAAGCUGAUGCGUAAUAUAGCAAUCUCAAUAUCUUUUUCUUUUUUAAAUCAUGAAACUGGUCAUUGCAUUUGAGACUUCUCUACGAUUCUUUGAUCAUCAACAAUACUCACUACAUACCUACCUACAUACGUAGGUGAAUUAGAUUGGCACAAAACAAGUGCUUCCUCAAACACUUUACAAAUAUUCUUUGUAUAAAACCCAAAGCAUGUAUAAUAAAUCCUUCAAAGAAACAGCC